GCCCAGUGACACAUGUUCAACGGCCGCGGUAUCCUAACCGUGCGAAGGUAGCGUAAUCACUUGUUCUUUAAAUGAGGACUAGUAUGAAUGGCACCACGAGGGUUAUACUGUCUCCUCUUUCUAAUCAGUGAAACUAAUCUCCCCGUGAAGAAGCGGGGAUAGACCUAUAAGACGAGAAGACCCUAUGGAGCUUUAAACUUCUCUUCAAACGCCAGACCUCCAUUCCACAAGCCAUAGACUUUUUUAUACUAACCAUCGGCGCCAUGAAGAUGACUUUUAGGUUGGGGUGACCAUGGAGCAUAAAAAAACCUCCACGCUGAACUAGGCCUCCAAGCCUUGAGCCAAGGGCCACGACCCGCCGCACUAAUAAACUAACACCAAUUGACCCAAAUUUAUUUGAUCAACGAACCAAGUUACCCUAGGGAUAACAGCGCAAUCCACUUCAAGAGUUCUUAUCGACAAGUGGGUUUACGACCUCGAUGUUGGAUCAGGGUAUCCCAGUGGUGCAGCCGCUACUAAUGGUUCGUUUGUUCAACGAUUAAAACCCUACGUGA
rnacentral:rRNA from 1 species